GCGGGGCCGCGGGGCCAGGCGGGCUGGGAUUGGGCGGAGGCGCUCGAGCGCUGAUUGGGCAGCGCUGCCGGCCCGCGGUAUAAAGGACCGGCGGGGGGGGUGUGGCCGGUUGUGUGUGUGAGGGCUGAGGGCGCGGCUCCGCUGCUGCCCGGGCUGCGGAGGGGAGAGCGCCUUGGCCGCUGGUUGUGCCCUCCCUGGGGCUCAGCUCAGGUCAGUGCCCAGCGGCUGGUGGAGUGUGGCGAGUUGUGCUUCCUGCCGGGCGGGAGCUGCCUUGGGAAGCUGCUCCGUCCCCACGGCUGUGCCGAGCUGGGAGCUUGGACAGCAGGAUGUCGAGUGCCACUGUGUCCCUGAGGUCACCCUUUCUC